GCAAGGCGAGGCAUGGGAUAGAAAGAUUUCUCCCAUCAAUGAAGUUACCUUCUAAUUGACAACAUUUAAGUCGAUUCACUAUUCACAUUUUCAUGUCAAUGGUGAGAAGUUUGGUCUACAGAGAAGAUUCCAUGAUGUGAGAGCUCGUUGUUUUGUUGUUAUGAGGAUACCAAGGCAUAAGGUGAAGGUAUUGAGAGCAACAAAUCAUAUUAUUUGGUAGGUGAGUUUCUUACUGUAAAUGUUUGCAAUAUUUCUAAAUUUGUGCAAGGACUGCGGAGCAAAAUGUGGAUUGAGGGGGCUUAAACAUUUUUAGGGUGGGUUAAACAUGCUAAAAAAGAGCGGGUGAUUUCUUGCAUAGGCUUAAAUACAUUUUGGAAAUUAUUUAGACCCCGUAGUUGAGCCCCGCGGUCCCUGAAUUUUUGACUCCCAAAUACUCUUUCGAGGAGCAAUUCUCACUUGGCCUGGUAGCCUACCCUGAACCACAACUCAAAUUCCAGUAUUCAGAAAACAACACCACAUAACAAGCCACCACCUCAAAUUUCUCUACCCAGUGUUAUCUUUUUCAGUCGAAUAGAAAGAUUUGGUCAUUAUUUUAUGCUUUGACUUAUAACAUUGAUUUAUGCUUUUGUUUAUUUCCGUGAUGUAUAUAAAGGGAUUUAAUCAAGGUUGGAGGAGAAAUUAAUUGAUAGGAUUGUGAUUGUUGGAUUGCUUGAAUGUAGAUGGUUUUCUUUUUCGAUUGGAACAUGAACGCGUGUACGGAAUUAAAAUUGGAAAUGUUUAGAGAAUAUAUUAUGGAUAUCGGUUUGUAAUCGUUUAUAUCGAAAUCUAGAUCGUAGAUUCAGUGUUUCCAAAUAUUACUGAUUGAGAGAACCUUGGAAUCAUAGCCAGUUUGUUUCUCUCUUAUUUACCCUGAACCGAAUUUAUCGUACGGGAAUAUUGCUCGAUUUAACUAGUCCGGCAGAAAUUGUUUAUUUGGCAAUGUUAACCAUCAGAUAGUACUUUAUCCUAAAUAAGAUUUAAAGGACAGGAGCUCAAGAUUUUGAGAGCCCGGGAUUUAGUAUAUUUUCUAGGUCUGUUUUCUUUCUCCCAUUCACAUGUAAAGCUGGCUUCUGUAUUGCAUGUUAUGUUUUCCCGCCCCGUAUUGGCGCCAUAAUCACCACAACCUCAUUCUGAUGUAGCAACCUUCAGCACAGGGGCCUUUGUGGCGUGAUAAGCCUUGAGCAAAGAUAGAUAAGGCACUUGUUUCCCGCUCUUUGGAAUCACUGUUCGUGAGUAAAUG